UAGUGAAAUUGAGACGGGGCGAAGACGCCGCCUAUGAAUUCUAAGACGAGAAGACCCCAUUGAGCUUUACUAUUAACUUGUAUUGCCAGAGCAAUGGGGGGGGCGCCAACGGAGCCCCGGGGAUUUCCCGGAUCCGUUUGGCCCCCUGUCCCUUGCUUCAUAAUAAAAUUGUGGAGACUAAGUGGAAAAAGAUAAAACAAGGGAUUUAAAAGAGCGGGGGCGAGAGCCCAUAGGGUCCUCGCCCCCGUCCCGAUUUAUAUGAAAAACCACUCUUUUUAUUAAGAUUACUGUCUAAAACCGUACAAGUAAGAUAGUUUGGUUGGGGCGACCGCCUUCGAAAAAGUAUCGAAGGCGCACAUAAGAUUAGUCCGGAGGGGGGUCCAAAGGAUCCCCCUCCCGGGGGCAAUGCCCCAAAAAAAGAUUAGUUUGACUGAGAGGGCUACAACCCGAACAGACGCCAGGAGAUAGGACCCAGGGGGCCCAGGGUGAUCCACCCUAAGGGCUCCCCCUGGGCCCCGCCUUUUGGCGGGUCAUAGU
rnacentral:rRNA from 1 species